rnacentral:snoRNA from 1 species
CUCCUCUCAGUAUUUCCCCUGGAGAGUUUCCAGUACUCUACCAGCCUCGACUAUGAGAGGGAGAGUUGAGGAGAGGCAUACCCAUUCCACUCCUAGUUUGGGCAGUGGCUAGUGAGUGGAAGGAAAUCUGCUACAAGU